GAUGCCUAUACUGCAAGUCGAGCGGAUCUUCUCCUUCGGGCGGAAGUUAGCGGCGGACGGGUGAGUAACACGUAGGCAACCUGCCCACAAGACCGGGAUAACAUUCGGAAACGAAUGCUAAGACCGGAUACGCAAGCCUGGGGCAUCCCGGGCUUGGGAAACACGGCGCAAGCUGUGGCUUGCGGAUGGGCCUGCGGCGCAUUAGCUAGUUGGCGGGGUAACGGCCCACCAAGGCGACGAUGCGUAGCCGACCUGAGAGGGUGAACGGCCACACUGGGACUGAGACACGGCCCAGACUCCUACGGGAGGCAGCAGUAGGGAAUCUUCCACAAUGGGCGAAAGCCUGAUGGAGCAACGCCGCGUGAGUGAGGAAGGCUUUCGGGUCGUAAAGCUCUGUUGCCAGGGAAGAAUAAGGGCCAGUUAACUGCUGGUCCGAUGACGGUACCUGAGAAGAAAGCCCCGGCUAACUACGUGCCAGCAGCCGCGGUAAUACGUAGGGGGCAAGCGUUGUCCGGAAUUAUUGGGCGUAAAGCGCGCGCAGGCGGUUCUUUAAGUCUGGUGUAUAAGUGCGGGGCUCAACCCCGUGACGCACUGGAAACUGGGAGGCUUGAGUGCANAAGAGGAGAGCGGAAUUCCACGUGUAGCGGGUGAAAUGCGUAAAGAUGUGGAGGAACACCAGUGGGCGAAGGGGGCUCCCUGGACUGUAACUGACGCUGAAGCGCGAAAGCGGUGGGGAGCAAACAGGAUUAGAUACCCUGGUAGUCCCCGCCCGUAAACCAAGAAUGCCAAGUGUUUGGGGGGAUCCCCCCCCUCGGGGCCCAAUUUACACAUUAAGCCAUCCCCCCGGGGGAAUACGCCC
rnacentral:rRNA from 1 species